ACUCAUAAAAGCCGGAGUUUGACUCUCAUUAAAGCAAAAGGGUAAACACUCAUCUUUGCCCAGCUCACUCUGGUCAUAUGCUUAUCAAAUAACUGACUUUUGUAGGCUAUGGCUGCUACAUUGUUAUAUAAACAAUGAGAUUAUCAAGUGUUGGGUUUUCUUUGCUCUGAGGGCAAGUGUGAAAUCUCGAGGUUGCCUCAUUAGGUUAUCACCUUGGAAGGCUGCUGUCCCCUUAUUAAUGAAAAGCCCUCAGCAUUUGUUUUGGCUUGAACCAAGCUAACAGCGCCUUCAAUUCAGCGACAGACUGUUUUCCUUGGAAGCAGAGGCCCAAUGGUUUCGAAUCAAGCUUUGGAUUUUGGCUGGAAGUUGCCAGCUGGAAGUCAAAUGACUUCACCCAAUAGCAGUUGGGAGAGAAGGCUGCGUAAGCCUUUGGAAAGGAGGAUUUCAGGAGUUGAAGAACCAGACGCUGGCUGAGAGAGAUAUGGAGAAACCAUACGAUUACCGUGUCAAGGCUGCCCUGGGUUUUACUUAAAUGUGCUCUUUUUAUUUUGCGCUUGUUUCCACCUAGACCAGAAAACAGUUCCAAGCUAACCUUGGGAGAGCCCCGUUCUCUCCAGCGACUCACAUCAGUCAAGUGAAAGCGCCGUUGUCAAAGCCAACCAGGAGAAAAGGAAGCCACCCUACUGGAUACCAGUGUUCAUGCCGAGCCGAAUUUCCCACCAAGUCUGCUACACAGAGACCUUGGUCUCUGGUUGUACUUAAAUAGCUAUGGCCUACUUUGCCUCACUCUGGCACUCUGCACCUUAACCUUUCUCUGUCUUCUUGCUCCACGGGGACUCCCUGUGUGUUUCCAUCAUUUUUAUCCACAGAGAAAAACAGCAUCUCCUUGAAGGCCCAUCAACUUUCCCGAAGUGCUGAUAGCCACGGGAGCCAAGGGGAUGACACCAAGCAUUGUUUUUCUCCUUUGGAUUCUGCGUAACAAUCGUAUACUUUAUAAUAUAUAUAUAUACUAAUUAUGCGAAGAUGCGUAAUAAUGACAUUCCUGUGCAUUUAUGUAACAUGCCUUCAUCACGCACGCCCUAUAACCUCUCUGUCCUCGUCCACUCUUCCCCUCCCACAUCCCUGACAGUCUCCCUUCUACUUUCUUGCCCUGUUUCUCCCUCUAGACCCUACUUAUCGCAUAUGCUUUAAAUGACCAUAUGGUCUCAAAUGAUCUCGUGCAAAAGAGAGACAGCCAAGACAAAUGUUUUGGGAACUAGUGGCACGCCUUCUGCAUCACUUUGUGUAAGGAAAGCUUCUGGUUGCAAAUUCAUUUAACACUCUUAGCUACUCCUCAACAAGACUUUGACUUUCCUUAAAGGAUGGGCUUUAGAGAGAGUCAUUCCUCUCUUGGCUUAUCGAGCUCCUGUCUCCCCGCAGGGAAAAAUGGUCUGUGCUCAUUUGCAGUUCCCAAAAGACUACUGUCCUAAAAUAGAUUCCUGAAAUUUCUAUCAUCAAAACAUUUGUUUUGCAUAUCAA